rnacentral:misc_RNA from 1 species
GGAGUAAAAGUCGUAACAAGGUUUCCGUAAGUGAACCUGCGGAAGGAUCAUUAACGAGUUAGGGUCUUUUAGGCCCGACCUCCCAACCCUAUGUUUAUUGAACCUCUGUUGCUUCGGCGGACCCGUCUCACGGCCGCCGGAGGACCGCUGCGAGGCGUCCUCUGGCCAGCGUCCGCCGAUGGCCAACCCACUAAACUCUGAAUGAAUCGUGUCAUAUGUCUAAGUCUAUGAUUAAAUUAAAGCAAAACUUUCAACAACGGAUCUCUUGGUUCUG